CUCCUUUCUGUACCUGUUGACCUCAUCUGGGCUGCAGUUGGUGACUGCUCGAAGGGGUGGGAGGAACAGUAUAAAGUCCUGUCCCCUUCCUGCCUUCAAGGGCACCCCUGAAGGACCAUAUCCACUGUGGACCCCCUUGGGAUCAGCCGAGUGACUCGAAGGAAUUGGGUCUUGAGACACAGCCGAGCCUGUGAGCGCUGACCUGUGUAAAGAAGACACCAGAAUGAGAUGUCUCCACACACAGAGAGCUGCAGCCGAUGCCGGCCGGUGACUUGGGACUUGGAUGCUUAACAGGAGGCUCCCCCUCUCUUGGGAGGUAGAGAGCAGUGAGGAAGGGGACUCAGCCUCCAUGCCUCCCGCCAGCCCAGCUGCGCCCGAAUCACCUCCCUCCUGAAAGGAUGUCAGCCUCUGCUUGGACACCGUGGAGACAGGGCCCUCCUUGUGCUUCAGAAGCAUCAACGUGUCAGAAAAUCAUCUUCACGCCAAGUCUGGAAAAAAUGGCUUUGAGGUUGUGCACACAAAGGAAGGAGGGAGAGCCCCAGGUGUCGCGGAGGACCAUGCGGCUGACAGAGCCAGCAGGGCGGUGGCGUGUGAGCCGUGCUCUGGAUAUAUAAGGAUCUGACGCUGCUGGCAAUGUCUGAGCUCUAUGCUCGCCCAUCUGUCGGCUGCUAUCAUCACCGGGUGGGAUUAGCGGAGAUCCACUCUUUCAUAUUUAAAUCUUCACAAGAGAAUGAAUCACUUUUAUAAUAAAAGAAAAAGACCGUCCAUGUUGUUAAUGUGCACACAGCAAGUUGGAAGGCCGGGGAGGGCAGCGGGUGGGGACGCUGACCCAGGCGCCCCCCUGCUGCCUGGAACAGCCCCAGGCCUGCUCCACUGUCCCCUCGGGGUUCCCUGUCGAAGAGGCCAAAGAGUGGAGGGGCUGGUGCCUAGAGGGUGUGGAGCUGCAGGUGCACAGUACAGCUGGCACCUGGCAGAGGUGGUUCAUUAUCAAGCAAAGGAUGAACAAGGCACUUGGAGCCCCUUCACAACUGGAACCUCCACUGCAGGCACAAGGCUGGGCUGGACUGGGGUCUCCUCCUCUCCAUGACAGCCUUGGGCAACCUGGAGCCCGCCACUGCCCCUCCCCAGGUGCUGUCCCCUUGAAGCUUCUCCCAACGGUUUAGUAUUGUAGAGUUGGCACAUCUCACGUGAACAAGAACAGCCAUCACUGAAACGAAUGCUCAGAGCGGACCGGCGUUUUUUCCCAGCCACCCUGGGGUGAGCAUGGCUCACGUUGCACACCAGGAAGCCCAGGAGCGGGGAAUUGAACCAGUUCCAUCCAGUCCCUGGCAAGGGACCACCCUGUGUCCGAAGGCCACGUUCAUUUUUCAGAUUGCAGGAAAUGGCUCAGCCUGAAGUUCAAGUUUUCCUCUGAGCUCCUGUUGAUUAAUGUGGCAAAGAGAGCAUGCUGUGGAAUAUGCUGGCAGAAAUGUCAGGAUUGCUAAAGCGUUUCACUGCAAAUGCUCAGGCUGGUGGGGAGGUGCCUUGGCACAAUUCUGCAGAGGGUAUUUGGCAAUAGCAACAAAAUCACAAAGGCACAAACCCUGUGACCCAGAAACACCAAUUUCACGGUAGGAGCUGCUGCCGCAGGGGUUUGCCCAGAGCACAGGGAAAGAUGUGCUCACUGUACUCGCUGGGACAAGCAAGAGAUUGGAAAGAGCUCAGUGUCGUCAUUCAGGGUGUCUCCUGUGUCUCCUGAUCGCUAUAAGGGGUUCCAGGCUGGUCCCCGGGGGAGGAGCUCCUGAUCAGACGCAGGCCCUGCCCCCUCCCCAGCACAGAGCUGGUGAAGGAAGUGGACAUUCAUUCAUUCAGGAUGUUCUGAGUAUUUCAGCACCACCAGGCCCUGGGAAAUCAAGGUCUCAGCAGA
rnacentral:lncRNA from 1 species